rnacentral:rRNA from 1 species
UGGCGGACGGGUGAGUAACGCGUGGAAAACCUGCCGUAUACUGGGGGAUAACACGUUAGAAAUAGGUGCUAAUACCGCAUAAGCGCACAGCUUCGCAUGAAGCGGUGUGAAAAACUCUGGUGGUAUACGAUGGUUCCGCGUCUGAUUAGCUAGUUGGUGGGGUAAUGGCCUACCAAGGCAACGAUCAGUAGCCGGCCUGAGAGGGUGAACGGCCCACAUUGGGACUGAGACACGGCCCAAACUCCUACGGAAGGCAGCAG